GGCUCAGAACGAACGCUGGCGGCGCGUCUAAGCAUGCAAGUCGAACGGCAAGAGGUAGCAAUACCUCCUAGAGUGGCGGACUGGUGAGUAACACGUGGGUGACAUACCCUUCAGAUGGGGAUAGCUAUUAGAAAUAGUAGAUAAUACCGAAUACGAGCACAGGGGUUAGAGAUCUGUGAGGAAAGGAGCUAAGGCUCCGCUGAAGGAAUGGCCUGCGGCCCAUUAGCUAGUUGGUGAGGUAAGAGCCCACCAAGGCGAUGAUGGGUAUCCGGCCUUAGAGGGUGAACGGACACAUUGGGACUGAGAUACGGCCCAGACUCCUACGGGAGGCAGCAGCUAAGAAUAUUCCGCAAUGGACGAAAGUCUGACGGAGCGACGCCGCGUGGAUGAAGAAGGCCGGAAGGUUGUAAAAUCCUUUUGAAACUGAAGAAUAAGCGUUGUAGGGAAUGACAGCGUGGUGACAGUAGGUUUUGAAUAAGCAACGGCUAAUUACGUGCCAGCAGCGGC
rnacentral:rRNA from 1 species